GUUCUUGUAGUUGAAAUACAACGGUGGUUUUUCGAGUCAUUGGUCUUGGUUAAAGCCCGGGCAAGAAUU
rnacentral:tRNA from 1 species